CAUUACCGAGAUUAGGGUCCACUUGGGACUUGACCCUCCUACCCUUUGUAUAUAUAUACUUUUGUUGCUUUGGCGGUUACCCCGCGGCACACGGCGCUGCUAGACACGUCGAGUCCCGGGCCCGCCAGAGGCCCUUUUAAAUCUGCCUUUUAUCAGUGACAGUCUGAGCAUAUUUUUGCGAAUCUAAAUCAAAACUUUCAACAACGGAUCUCUUGGUUCUGGCAUCGAUGAAGAACGCAGCGAAAUGCGAUAAGUAAUGUGAAUUGCAGAAUUCAGUGAAUCAUCGAAUCUUUGAACGCACAUUGCGCCCUCUGGUAUUCCGGGGGGCAUGCCUGUUCGAGCGUCAUUACACCUCUCAAGCUUCGCUUGGUAUUGGGUCUUCGUCCCCUGUGGACGGGCCUGAAAAUCAGUGGCAGUGCAACCGGUACUCAAGCGUAAUAGCAUUAAUAUCCCGCUUUGGAGUGACCGGGUGGACCCGCCAGAUAA
rnacentral:misc_RNA from 1 species